UUUGAAGUUUCCUGUGGAGGUGGGGCUGUGAUGUGUCAGCCUCCCAUUGGAUAAUUGUUGUUUACAUAAAGAAUGAAGAAGUUCAUGAGUUGAAAGCAGGAAGUCAUUACAUGAAGAAAAACUCACUGAAGAUCAUUAACAGACAUGAAAAUUUAACUAAAGGAACAAACUGCAGCCGAGCGAAAACUGUGGACUGAAAACCAGAGACCACAUGACAACACACCUGAAACUACAGCUGAGCAGACAGGUGAGGAACAUGGAGCAGAAACAGAUGAACACUGAAUCAACCAAAAUCUCAAUGAACUGUGACAAGAUGCAAUACUUUGCUGCCAUGAUGGAUGUCUGUCUUCAUUUAGAGUCUCUGCUGUGCUGUCAUCACUUGUGGACACACCUGUGGACUCAGCUGCUCUGAGGGUUUCGAUGGGUCCUUCAGGUUUUUCUUGGACAGGACACAGAUAUGAGUGCUGUCUGGAUCUUUUCGCAGGAUCAAUGAUGAUGUUUGAUGAUGAUGAUGAUGAUAAUGAUGAAGGAGGAGGAAGCUGAGAGUGUCUCCGGGUGUAGACUCCAUGUCUGCCAUGUGAAGAAGACUCAUACUGAUGGCUGAAAGCUCUGGAGUAUGAAGACUCGUCUGUGGAGAAGACUGGUCGACUGGAGCUAACCUGUUGGAGACAACAGCUUGAUUCGUCUUCAGUUUGUUUUCCCACACACCCUGAACUUCUCAUCCAACUGCUGGACAUAAAGGUGGAAAACAGGCUGAAGACCACCACCUGGUGGCCGACUGAAGUACAUAUCAUUAACUUCAGUUUAUACUGUUCAUAACUUCAGUUUGUACUGUUCAUAACUUCAGUUUGUACUGUUCAUAACUUCAGUUUAUACUAUUCAUAACUUCAGUUUGUACUGUUCAUAACUUCAGUUUAUACAGUUCUGACUUCAGUUUAUAUUGUUGUGACUGCAGAGUAAGCUUCAUUCACAUUCAAGUUUCACAAAAUUAAGGAAGUUUCUAACCAAAAAAAUACAAAAAAAAAAAAUGAGAAGAGGAAAUAUAAGAAAGGGAUGAAACCACUAUAACACAGAGCACCACCCUAUUGCUCAUCCACACGAUGGUGAAGGUGGAUGUUACAGAGGGUUAGAGAGCACCACAGAGAGGCUAUAAACAGAAGCACAUCACAGGAAGUGCGCACUGACUAUCACAACAUGACGACUGAAGAGCAGCUUUGAACUCACUGUCUGAAAGCAGAGCAGAUGCUACAGAACAACACAGGAAGUGCAGACAUCAGGUUGAUAUAAACAUCCAUGCACACGUGUCCCAUACAGAUGAGGCAACCUUUAACUGUACCCUAACCCUUAAAUCUUCAGUAACUGAUGUCUCUUUUGUAACAUUGAUGCUGUGAUUGGUUGUGUCUCCUGAUGAGUCCAAUAAGUGAACAUCUGUCUUUUUAGCUACUGAAUGCUCUGCUGUGUUCACAUCUAAUCUCUGUCUGUCUGAUGUUUGAAGUGUACACUGACUCUAUACAGCUUCUUCUGUGAGAGCACUAAGAGCCAGAACAGAUCAAAAAUGAUGUCUGUAAAAAACGACUGCAGAUUCAGCUGAUGAUUCAGCACCAGAGACACAAACUCAUCAUCACACUUUCUAUAAGAUAUUCAUCAGAGGUGCUUUAUGUUUGUAGAGAAAAAACACACAAUUGAAACCAACAAACAUCUUAAACAUGUCGGCAGGUGAUAGUGUAAGAGUUUAAGUUUGUACCACGUUGGGAUGUUUUCCGAGGGCGACAGCUGCAUGUUCGUCAGUGUUUGUUUGUCGCUGACGUCUCCUGAUGG